CGGGGUGCAGCAGGCGCGAAACCUUAGCAAUGUGCGAAAGCACGACUGGGUCAGUCCGAGUGAUUCCUGAUAAAGGAGUCUUUUACUUGUCCCAAAAGCACAGGUGAAUAAGGGGUGGGCAAGUCUGGUGUCAGCCGCCGCGGUAAUACCAGCACCUCGAGUGGUCAGGACGUUUAUUGGGCCUAAAGCAUCCGUAGCCGGCUUUGCAAGUCUUCGGUUAAAUCCACCUGCUCAACAGAUGGGCCGCUGGAGAUACUACAAAGCUAGGGAGUGGGAGAGGCAGACGGUAUUCAGUGGGUAGGGGUAAAAUCCUCUGAUCCAUUGAGGACCACCAGUGGCGAAGGCGGUCUGCCAGAACACGUUCGACGGUGAGGGAUGAAAGCUGGGGGAGCAAACCGGAUUAGAUACCCGGGUAGUCCCAGCCGUAAACGAUGCAAACUCGGUGAUGCAUUGGCUUAUGGCCAAUGCAGUGCCGCAGGGAAGCCGUUAAGUUUGCUGCCUGGGAAGUACGGACGCAAGUCUGAAACUUAAAGGAAU
rnacentral:rRNA from 1 species